rnacentral:rRNA from 1 species
CCUACGGGAGGCAGCAGUGAGGAAUAUUGGUCAAUGGACGAGAGCCUGAUCCAGCCACGUAGCGUGAAGGAUGACUGCCCUAUGGGUUGUAAACUUCUUUUAUAAAGGAAUAAAACGAGGCACGUGUGCCUUUUUGCAUGUACGUUAUGCAUAAGAGUCGGCUAACUCCGUGCCAGCAGCCGCGGUAAUACGGAGGAUCCGGGCGUUGACCGGAUUUAUUGGGUUGAAAGGGAACGUAGAUGGUUUGUUAAGUCAGUUGUGAAAGUUUGGGGCUCAACCGUAAAAUUGCACUUGAUACUGGCAGUCUUGAGUACAGUUGAGGUAGGUGGAAUUCGUGGUGUAGCGGUGAAAUGCGUAGAUAUCACGAAGAAUCCCGAUGGCGAAGGCAGCUUACUAAACUGUGACUGACAUUGAUGCUCGAAAGUGUGGGUAUCAAACAGGAUUAGAUACCCCUGUAGUC